UACACACACGCGCGCGCACACACACACACACACACACACACUCACGCUCACACCCCACCCCACCCCACCAAAAGCCCUGCGGGGAAGCUCCCAGCCAAGCAGGUUCCGUCUUGGGAAGGCACAGUCAGCAUCCCUCUCUCCCAGCCCAAGUGAGAGGCUCGCCUCUGCCGCGGAGCUACAGUUCCCUGGUCUUUCACAUUCUAGGCUUUUCCUUACGAAGUAGAAAGGUCUAUGCUGGCCUUACCUCUGGGGCUGCUUUCCUAAAGGUGCAUUCAGCUGGUGGUUGCGCUGCUGACUGCACUCAGCUGAGAAAGCUGGAUUGGCUGAUCCUCGCUCUCCAAACUCGCUUUCAUCCUGGGCACCUUUGUUGAACUCACUCUCAGAAUAGCGCUCCCACCGGGCAGAGGCAGAUGCUGCCAAGGCCUCAUGGGUCCCAAUUUUGGAACAGCCUCUCUCUUUCGAUGAAUCUGCACUGAGGAAAGACUAACUGAGGACAUAGUGAGAAGACAGCCAUCUGCAAGCCAGAAAGAGUGUCCUCAUCAGAAACGCAGCCCUGUUGGACCUUGAUCUUGGACUUCCCAUCUUUCAGAACUGUGAGGAAAUACAUUUCUGCUCUUUAAACCAA